rnacentral:rRNA from 1 species
UACGUAGGGUCCGAGCGUUAAUCGGAAUUACUGGGCGUAAAGCGUGCGCAGGCGGUUUUGUAAGACAGCUGUGAAAUCCCCGGGCUCAACCUGGGAACUGCGGUUGUGACUGCAAGACUGGAGUGUGGCAGAGGGGGGUGGAAUUCCACGUGUAGCAGUGAAAUGCGUAGAGAUGUGGAGGAACACCGAUGGCGAAGGCAGCCCCCUGGGUCAACACUGACGCUCAUGCACGAAAGCGUGGGGAGCAAACAGG